GGCAACCCUGACGGAGCAAGACCGCGUGGGGGAGGAAUGCCUUAGGGUUGUAAGCCCCUUUUAUCUGGGAAGAAAAUACUGACGGUACCAGAUGAAUCAGCCUCGGCUAACUCCGUGCCAGCAGCCGCGGUAAUACGGAGGAGGCAAGCGUUAUCCGGAUUUAUUGGGCGUAAAGGGUCUGCAGGUGGCGGUUCAAGUCUGCUGUCAAAGACAGUAGCUCAACUACUGACAGGCACUGGAAACUGAAUCGCUAGAGAACGGUAGGGGCAGAAGGAAUUCCCGGUGUAGCGGUGAAAUGCGUAGAUUUCGGGAAGAACAUCGGCGGCGAAAGCGUUCUGCUGGACCGUAUCUGACACUCAGGGACGAAAGCUAGGGGAGCG
rnacentral:rRNA from 1 species